AGCUGUAGAGAAAGAGUUGUCCUGAAGCCGUUGACGGCCGCGGACGAGCAUGGCUGCUCUACAUCCGGGGUUUCGCCGUCACUUCAUUUUGCUCAAAGGGUCCUGUGCAGCAACGGGGACGCCAUUGAGUGUCGUUGGCGUGUCGACCACUUCCCAGGUUCUAGCAGAUUGUUGGUGGAGACCGCUACAGCAGGCUGGUGCAGACUGGUGGUGUUGGUGGGGACCGCUACAGCCAUCGGAAGGGAUUUGGCAGGAGGUGGAGCCUUCUUUGCUUGACUUUUACUGCCAAGGAUGGAAGGUUUGAUUUCACAGUCAUGGCCUCUUCCACUAGUUCACUGACUGAGCACUCCAUUAGGGCUUCUGAUGUCCUGGCCCGGAACAGCUGCUCAACGUGCUGCAGUAAAGAGAAUACAUCCGCAGAUGGCUGGAGAAGUGCGCCCUCUCUGUACUCCUUCAUCUGCAGCAGUGUGGCGUUGUCCGGUAUAGCGUCGUCACUGUUCCUUAAGGCAGGCUUACAGGCCGAACACAAAGAGCCGCCUAGUACACCCUUGAUGACGUAUCCGGCCAGAUGGUAUAGCACACAGGA